rnacentral:rRNA from 1 species
AGUGAACGCUGGCGGUAGGCCUAACACAUGCAAGUCGAACGGCAGCACAGUAAGAGCUUGCUCUUACGGGUGGCGAGUGGCGGACGGGUGAGGAAUACAUCGGAAUCUACUUUUUCGUGGGGGAUAACGUAGGGAAACUUACGCUAAUACCGCAUACGACCUACGGGUGAAAGCAGGGGAUCUUCGGACCUUGCGCGAUUGAAUGAGCCGAUGUCGGAUUAGCUAGUUGGCGGGGUAAAGGCCCACCAAGGCGACGAUCCGUAGCUGGUCUGAGAGGAUGAUCCGCCACACUGGAACUGGGACACGGUCCAGACCCCUACGGGAGGCAGCAGUGGGGAAUAUUGGACAAUGGGCGCAAGCCUGAUCCAGCCAUACCGCGUGGGUGAAGAAGGCCUUCGGGUUGUAAAGCCCUUUUGUUGGGAAAGAAAAGCAGCAGGUUAAUACCCCGCUGUUCUGACGGUACCCAAAGAAUAAGCACCGGCUAACUUCGUG